rnacentral:rRNA from 1 species
GGGGGUAAGCGUUGUUCGGAAUUACUGGGCGUAAAGGGCUCGUAGGCGGCCAACUAAGUCGGACGUGAAAUCCCUCAGCUUAACUGGGGAACUGCGUCCGAUACUGGAUGGCUUGGAUUUGGGAGAGGGAUGCGGAAUUCCAGGUGUAGCGGUGAAAUGCGUAGAUAUCUGGAGGAACACCGGUGGCGAAGGCGGCAUCCUGGACCAAUAUUGACGCUGAGGAGCGAAAGCCAGGGGAGCAAACGGG